AGGAAGACUACCAAAUCAGCCGAGUCAUCCAUUGUGCCAAGAGGUGAUGAAGCACCGGCAACCGCUAUGUAUUUUCCACCAAGCCAAAGCUUAGAAAUUACAACCAAGAAGAAAGGAAAACAUAGCCAAACUUUGAAGACUACAAACAAGAAAAAUGCAAAAGGGUGUAAAAGAUCAGGGAAGGGGAAGAAGAUGGAGCUUGCUAAAAAGGACGAAAGUUGUCCUAUGGUGCCACCAUUCGACAGCCCCGCAAUGAGCACAAGAUGCAAAAAAGCUAACCCAGCCAGCCCCGCAAUGAGCACAAGGAGUAGAAGAAGACUUAGCUUGUGAACUAAAUUUAAUUUCUUUUAGUUAGAGUCACUUCUGUUGCUGCUCAAGUCAUGUUGUGUGGACUUGGACUCAUAUGGGAACCUUAUGUCACUUUUGUGUAGUCCAUAUCAUGGACUUGGACUAUGUACGCGAACCUGGACAUGAUGACAAUCCUUUUGUGUUGCUCAUAUGAUGUAGAUUAUGAUGUAUGUGUGGGAUUGGACUCAUAUGUGAUCAUGUAUAUGUUGGAAGCGAUAUAUGUGUACUUGGAUGGGGGC